UGUCAUUCUCCUUUUCUUGAAAUCUAUAAGAAAGACCAUGAUAUUAUAAAAAAGAAAAUUCAUGCAACAUAACUUACACAAAAAAAUAGAAAGCGUGUGAUUAUUUAUGAUUACCGGUUCACAAUGCAUAAAUACAAUUAAAAAGCAUUCACCAAUUCAUAGGAAGACAUAAACUGGCAUAGACUAUUCUUCUGUAUUCAAUUCACUAAACUGAUGCAUCUGCAUUUAUCUUGUAUAAAGUUCCUCUGUGUGCAACUAAUUAUUAGCUAAUUUAUUAAAAUGCCACUACAUGAAGUUGGCAAAUGCAAAAAUCAUACAAAGUGCUAGAGAGAUCUUAAAGUUAGGUUUGUGUUUAAGCACAUGAGAGUCAAAUUUAGAGGGUCUCUUCUUCCUUUUCUAGACCUAAUAUGAAGUAGAAGAACAAGGUAGCAACACAAAGGUAUCAUAUUGCACAAGACAAUCAACCAUACAUCCAUAUUACCAGACAUGAUACUGUAGCACUAACUUUCGAAACAGCAUCUGAAGAAUGCAAGUCUUCAGAACCAUAGUAAGUUGUACGAGUAUGAUAUUAAACUCUUCUAGAUAUAAGCUCUAAUAUAGUUUAUAAAUUUAAUGCAAUCAUAAAAGCCUUUGAUGAUAAAUACACUCUACAUUGCAAUGGCCAUGCAACUUCCUGUUAACAGGGACAAUGCUAGUAUUAUAAUUCAUACCGUUACUGAGUCUGAG
rnacentral:misc_RNA from 1 species